rnacentral:ncRNA from 1 species
CUAAAGGCUGUGAAUAGAAGAGUAGAUGCGGUAGCUAUUUACAGAGAACUGCGGCAGCUGAGAAGCGGUAAUAGCUAAAGUAUUGAAGAUGGUCUAGGAGCUGUAUAGCUGAAAGAAAGUAGGCUAUACCGGUUAGCAGAGCCGUUAUCUCUGUUUUAAAGCGGCCGCUUUUAUAGUUUAGAAGCGGCAAGUAGGGUGGUACCGCGAUAGUAAUGAUCUUGAAUCUCUCGUCCCUGUU